UACGAAGGGGGCUAGCGUUGCUCGGAAUCACUGGGCGUAAAGGGUGCGUAGGCGGGUCUUUAAGCCAGGGGUGAAAUCCUGGAGCUCAACUCCAGAACUGCCUUUGAUACUGAAGAUCUUGAGUUCGGGAGAGGUGAGUGGAACUGCGAGUGUAGAGGUGAAAUUCGUAGAUAUUCGCAAGAACACCAGUGGCGAAGGCGGCUCUCUGGGACGGUACUGACGCUGAGACGCGAAAGCGUGGGGAGCGAACAGG
rnacentral:rRNA from 1 species